CAAAUUAAAGCUUAAUAAAUAAAGCAUUUUAUUUACAUUAAAAAGAAGUCGUGUAAAUCGAUAUAAUUUGA
rnacentral:tRNA from 1 species